UACGUAGGUGGCAAGCGUUAUCCGGAAUUACUGGGCGUAAAGCGCACGCAGGCGGUCUUUUAAGUUUGACGUGAAAGCUCCCGGCUUAACUGGGAGAGGUCGUUGAAGACUGGAAGACUUGAGGCAAUGAGAGGGGUGUAGAAUUCCCGGUGUAGUGGUGGAAUGCGUAGAUAUCGGGGGGAAUACCGGUGGCGAAGGCGGGUCUCUGGGCCGAUACUGACGCUGAGGAGCGAAAGCGUGGGGAGCGAACAGG
rnacentral:rRNA from 1 species